rfam:Schistosoma haematobium scaffold733_28, whole genome shotgun sequence.
AUCUAGCCGACCAGUCCUAAAUAGGACGAAAAGCGCGUCAAACUGGAU